UACGGAGGGUGCGAGCGUUGUCCGGAAUUAUUGGGCGUAAAGGGCGCGUAGGCGGUGCGGUAAGUCUGUAGUGAAAUCUCUGGGCUCAACUCAGAGUCUGCUGCAGAAACUGCCGUGCUUGAGUGUGGGAGAGGUGAGUGGAAUUCCCGGUGUAGCGGUGAAAUGCGUAGAUAUCGGAGGAACACCUGUGGCGAAAGCGGCUCACUGGACCACAACUGACGCUGAGGCGCGAAAGCUAGGGAGCAAACAGG
rnacentral:rRNA from 1 species